rnacentral:rRNA from 1 species
UACGUAGGGUGCGAGCGUUAAUCGGAAUUACUGGGCGUAAAGCGUGCGCAGGCGGUUCUCCAAGUCCGUUGUGAAAGCCCCGGGCUCAACCUGGGAAUGGCAGUGGAAACUAGGGGACUGGAAUCUGGCAGAGGGGGGGGUGGAAUGCCGCGUGUAGCAGUGAAAUGCGUAGAGAUGCGGCGGAACACCGAUGGCGAAGGCAGCCCCUGGGUCAAGAUUGACGCUCAUGCACGAAAGCGUGGGGAGCAAACAGGA